GAAAUGCGAUAAGUAAUGUGAAUUGCAGAAUUCAGUGAAUCAUCGAAUCUUUGAACGCACCUUGCGCUCCUUGGUAUUCUUUGGAGCAUGCCUGUUUGAGUAUCAUGAAAUCUUCAAAGUAAAUCUUUUGUUAACUCAAUUGGUUUCUACUUUGGUAUUGGAGGUCUUUGCAGCUUCACACCUGCUCCUCUUUGUUCAUUAGCUGGAUCUCAGUGUUAUGCUUGGUUCCACUCGGCGUGAUAAGUUAUCUAUCGCUGAGGACACUGUAAAAGGUGGCCAAGGUAAAUGCAGAUGAACCGCUUCUAAUAGUCCAUUGACUUGGACAAUAAUUUUAUGAUCUGAUCUCAAAUCAGGUAGGACUACCCGCUGAACUUAAGC
rnacentral:misc_RNA from 1 species